rnacentral:tRNA from 1 species
AUUAAUCUAGUUUAAAUAAUAAAACCUUAAAUUGUGGAUUUAAAAAUACUUAUUAGUGAUUAAUC